UAUUACAUGGUAUGGUUGUAGUUCAAUCAUCAUCUACUAAGACUAUUUCCAGCUCAUCUACUGGGUAUUGUUCAAUAACUUGUACUUCAGUCUCUACUGCUACUCCUGCAGUCUCAGUGAUUCCAUCAACUAGUGACACAUCAGACAGUGUCAUUGCUCUUAGUGUGUUAGUGGGUAUAUUGUGUGGUCUACUAACUGUUAGUGUUAUUAUUAAUAUCUACUGCUUUAUGAGGUAUUCUAGUUACAUAUCCCUGUAGUUUGUAUAAUGAAUUGUAUUGUUUUUGCUACAAAAAGAAAAGUUCAUGCAUUAAUAAGCAAACAAAAGCUGAUGAUGAUAUUUCAAUGCAAGUAUGUGAACCGUAUGGAAUCCACAAGGCAAAACAAAGUGAAGAGAAUGAAGGAGUUUAUGAUGA